rnacentral:rRNA from 1 species
UUCCGGUUGAUCCUGCCGGACCUGACUGCUAUCGGAUUGAUACUAAGCCAUGCGAGUCUUUGCAGUAAUGCAAGGCAUACGGCUCAGUAACACGUAGUCAACUUACCCUAUGGACGAGGAUAAUCUCGGGAAACUGAGCAUAAUACUCGAUAGAUCAUAAUGCCUGGAAUGGUUUAUGGUUGAAAUGAUUCGUCGCCAUAGGAUGGGACUGCGGCCUAUCAGCUUGUUGGUGAGGUAAUGGCCCACCAAGGCGAUUACAGGUACGGGCUCUGAGAGGAGAAGCCCGGAGAUGGGUACUGAGACAAGGACCCAGGCCCUAUGGGGCGCAGCAGGCGAGAAAACUUUGCAAUGUGCGAAAGCACGACAAGGUUAAUCCGAGUGAUUUCUGCUAAAGAAAUCUUUUGCAAGUCAUAAAACCACUAGUGAAUAAGGGGUGGGCAAGUUCUGGUGUCAGCCGCCGCGGUAAAACCAGCACCUCAAGUGGUCAGGAGGAUUAUUGGGCCUAAAGCAUCCGUAGCCGGCUCUGUAAGUUUUCGGUUAAAUCCAUGUGCUCAACGCAUGGGCUGCCGAAAAUACUGCAUAGCUAGGGAGUGGGAGAGGUAGACGGUACUCAGUAGGAAGGGGUAAAAUCCUUUGAUCUAUUGAUGACCACCUGUGGCGAAGGCGGUCUACCAGAACAUGUUCGACGGUGAGGGAUGAAAGCUGGGGGAGCAAACCGGAUUAGAUACCCGGGUAGUCCCAGCUGUAAACGAUGCAGACUAGAUAAUGCACUGGCACAUAGCCAGUGCAGUGUCUCAGGGAAGCCGUUAAGUCUGCCGCCUGGGAAGUACGUACGCAAGUAUGAAACUUAAAGGAAUUGGCGGGGGAGCACCACAAGGGGUGAAGCCUGCGGUUCAAUUGGAUUCAACGCCGG